AGUAAUGCUUAGGAAUCUGCCUAUUAGUGGGGGACAACGUUCCGAAAGGAGCGCUAAUACCGCAUACGUCCUACGGGAGAAAGCAGGGGACCUUCGGGCCUUGCGCUAAUAGAUGAGCCUAAGUCGGAUUAGCUAGUUGGUAGGGUAAAGGCCUACCAAGGCGACGAUCUGUAGCGGGUCUGAGAGGAUGAUCCGCCACACUGGGACUGAGACACGGCCCAGACUCCUACGGGAGGCAGCAGUGGGGAAUAUUGGACAAUGGGGGGAACCCUGAUCCAGCCAUGCCGCGUGUGUGAAGAAGGCCUUUUGGUUGUAAAGCACUUUAAGCGAGGAGGAGGCUACCUAGAUUAAUACUUUAGGAUAGUGGACGUUACUCGCAGAAUAAGCACCGGCUAACUCUGUGCCAGCAGCCGCGGUAAUACAGAGGGUGCGAGCGUUAAUCGGAUUUACUGGGCGUAAAGCGUGCGUAGGCGGCCAAUUAAGUCAAAUGUGAAAUCCCCGAGCUUAACUUGGGAAUUGCAUUCGAUACUGGUUGGCUAGAGUAUGGGAGAGGAUGGUAGAAUUCCAGGUGUAGCGGUGAAAUGCGUAGAGAUCUGGAGGAAUACCGAUGGCGAAGGCAGCCAUCUGGCCUAAUACUGACGCUGAGGUACGAAAGCAUGGGGAGCAAACAGGAUUAGAUACCCUGGUAGUCCAUGCCGUA
rnacentral:rRNA from 1 species